rnacentral:rRNA from 1 species
UACGUAGGGGGCAAGCGUUGUCCGGAAUCAUUGGGCGUAAAGCGCGUGUAGGCGGCUCGGUAAGUCCGCUCUGAAAGUCCAGGGCUCAACCCUGGGAUGCGGGUGGAUACUGCCGGGCUCGAGUCCGGAAGAGGCGAGUGGAAUUCCCGGUGUAGCGGUGAAAUGCGCAGAUAUCGGGAGGAACACCAAUGGCGAAGGCAGCUCGCUGGGACGUGACUGACGCUGAGACGCGAAAGCGUGGGGAGCAAAGCAGG